rnacentral:rRNA from 1 species
UGAGGAACAUGACCUUCGGCGGGGGAUAGCCGGCCCAACGGCCGGGUAAUACCGCGUACGACCUUUCGGGGACAUCCCUGGAUGGUGAAAGCAGCAAUGCGCCGAUGGAGUGCCUCGCGGCCUAUCAGCUAGUUGGUGAGGUAACGGCUCACCAAGGCGACGACGGGUANCUGGUCUGAGAGGAUGGCCCAGCCACAGUUGGGGACUGAGACCACGGCCCAGACCUCCGUAACGGGGAGCA